rnacentral:misc_RNA from 1 species
UAAUAAGUGUUUAUGGCACUUUUUAAAUCCAUAUCCACCUUGUGUGCAAUGUCAGUCGAUCUUCUUCAUGGAGAUCGACCAAACAUCAACCUUUAUCUUUUAACUCUUUGUCUGAAAAAUAUUAUGAUAAACAAUUCAAAAUA